AACAAUUAGGGGCCUUCAUCUCAUCCAAUCCAACAAAAGGGAACUCUUUUUCCUUUACAACAAAACUAUCUGAAAAUCCCUCAAACCUUAGAAUUCAUAUUCCUCAAUCCCUCUCUCUCUCACCUCUGCCAUCGCCGCCCACCGAAAAUCGCCUAGGAUGACGGCGCCACCCCAAACACACCCUACGCUCCUUAUCCUUCCCUUUCCAUAAACCUCAUAACCAUUGCCUUAAAAUCUCAACCCGUCUUCUCCAAUUUCGGAUCUGAAAAUGCUGAAGAAAACCUAAAUUCUUCCUUUUCUAAUUACUCCUUAACCCCGGCUUAUUUGAACUCAAAACCUAAAUCAAUUAAUUGCUCUUGAUGAGAGCAGUCGAUUGAUGUUAGUCUCAGUUCAACCCACGGCCAUCGGAGUUUGUUCGAUUUACCGGAGUUUGGUUGGAAUUUCAUCGUCAUUCCUUGAAUGACUACUAGGUAAUUUCUCUACUCUAUUUUAUUUUCCUUCUUUUCUUUUCUUUCUUCUUUUUCCUUGUUUUUCUUUUCAAACAUAUAACUCUUCUGUUCCUUCUCAAUUUCUUCUUUAGAUUGUUUGCGCUAAUGAUUAAGAGGUUUAAUUACUCAUUAAUUUAGUGUAAACAUAUAACAUUAGUUUAAUCGAUUUUAGAUUAGUUUGGACAAUUGGAAUAUUUUACUUGUUAAAUUGGGCACCGGUUUUCUUUUGUUUCUGCUUUUGCAUGAUUUACUUGUAAGCUAAUUGCAUGUGUUAGAUUAAUUGAAUCAAUUUUAAUUAGUUCAGUAAUCUAGUUUAGGUAUAUUAGUUAUUUGUUUCUAUUUCAUUUGAUCUGUGAUUUGUUUUUUGAUAGUUUGAUUGCUGAUUCUUAAUGUCAAUGGGAAUUAAGGGGGUUGAAAGGGUAAUUAGUAAGAGGGUCAAAGGGAUUCGAAAAUUUAGUAAAUCUGAGCUGUUUAUUCGGGGAAGUCUCUAGAAGGCAUUAAAGUGCAUAUAAAAUAAGAAAUUGGAUCAAUUUUGGGGUAAAGGGGUAGUUUUCAGAAGAUAAAGGUUUUAUAAAAUAGAGAAAAUAUCUUAAAUUGGACAGCUCUUUCAUUUUUCAGUUGAAAAUUUUUUUUAAAAUUUAGCUAACUGCUUCCCCCAUACUGCUCUGAUUUUUUCUCUCAUAAGAGCACAUGCUCACAUCCUAUAAAGGGACUCCUCCUCCUCUCAUUUUACACACACUAAUUCCUGCAUUUUCAGAUAUAUUCCUUUUAACUCAUCUUUAUUCUAAUUUUCUCACAAAAAUUUGGAAUUCUAGCCUUUCAAUCUCAAAAAAUAUCAGAAAAACUUAAAAAAAAAUUAGUUAUCUUUAUUCAUUGGUAUUGGGAUUCAUCUUUCUGGCUUUUAAAGUUCAAUUUACCUUGAAUUCCUGCUAUUUGCUACUGCACGGUCAAGCUAUUGUUUGAAUUUGAGUUCUGACUACAAUUCUUCAAAGUCAGAGAUUUAUUUUCUCUUCUAUCUGUUGUGUUUGCUGCUAUUGAGGCAUUACCCUUUAUUAAACAAUGUAAACUUCAGGUUUUGCUUGAAUGAUGAAGUUGUUUUGUUUAUCCUGUCAAGUUUCAGUUUGUGAUUAUUGUUUGGUGUUUGCUAAACUAUAUGUUUUUUAACUACUGUUGGAAUAUGGCUAUGAGUUAGGAAUUGCAUUAUUGCAUCUUAAGGUAUAUAACCUGACUUCAAGCCAUGCAGUUGAUGUUUAGAUUGUGUCCAUAUUAUAAAACUUUCUUGGUUUAUUGGUUGAUGUAUAUGCGGGGAUGUUCCUUCCUGUUGACUGUAAAUGGCUAGUGUAAUAAAUUUAUAAACAUGUUUAAGUAGCAAAAACAGCUAUUGCAAAUCAAAUCUACUAUUUGGUUCCAUCACUACUUAAGCAUGCUUCAAUAAGUUGCAUUGAAAUAGAAUCUAUUGUUUCCCUGAUUCAAAUUUGAGCUUGGUUUGUCCAGUUCAUCAGUCAUGUUUAAAGAAGCAUUUAUUGGGUUAAAGUUUAUCAAUCUUCAAAUUUAAUCACUAGUUGGUCAAGUAUGAUGAUUGAUAGGGUCCAGACAUUGUUGGAGUGCAUCAGUUGAUAAUCUUUUCCAAAGGAAGAAUCUGGAAACUAUCACCAUGGAUCGAUAUUUGAAGGCAUUUUAAUUUUGUCUUUUUUUUUACCCUUGAUUAUUUCAUAUAAGGAUAAUAUCUGGGUUGUAUGAGGUAAAUUGUUUUGCUACUUAUCAUGAGAUGAAGAAGUUUGGAGGAUUUGUUACACAUGUUCAAAUAAAUAGCUAAAUGUUUAAAGGACAGGCAGCAAAUAAAUAAAGUAUGGACUAUUUUCCGAAUUUGGAGUUGCAAUUGACAAUGACCGUUAAUGAGUUAAGCAGAAUUGAAUUUGUAAUGUGUAGAUUAUUGUAAUUUGUAAAUCGCUAUUCAUGUUAAUUAUUGAUAAUGUGAUGCAUAUGUUUAUCUGAGUCUAUAUUCAUGUUGAUUAUUGACAAUGUGAUGCUUAUGUUUAAUUAAGUCUAGGCUGAAGUUAAGUAGGCAUGUAUGCAAUUUUUUUUUAAUGUUCAUUGAUUGUAAACAAAAUGUUGGAAAAAGCCCUGGCCAUGAUGAAGGCCAGGCUCAUGCGUUUGGGCCAGACUUCAGAAAGAAGUCAGCAGUGGAAUGUCUCAUAGCUAGGCUUCAUAUGAAAGCCCAUUUGG
rnacentral:lncRNA from 1 species